ensembl:lncRNA
AUACAGCCUACAUGUUGUCUUUUUUAUUUGUAUUAACUGGAUAUAAAUGUUAAUGUUUAAGGAUGUAGAUGUUGGGGCUGAGGUGAAAAGCCCACAGGCUGUGAGUGAAGGAGGAGAAGCGGUGUGUUAAAGCAGCCUGGGACUGUGUGGGCUAGGGCAGCUUCAGGAGCUGCAUCUCACGCUUUUUAGCUUUUAGCUGAGGACUUAAGCGGAUGUCCCUUUCCAAUUCAAACGUCUUUUUGCUAAAAGAGGUAGGACAAACAUACUAAAGGUACAAAGGUAGAACCACAAGGUUCUACACCGGGUCACAGGGAGCCUGGAGCCUGUCGCAGGGAACUCGGGACACAGCGAGGGACACCCUUGACAAGGUGCCAACCCACCCAUCGCAGGGUACAAGUGUACACACAUCCACACACACGGACAUGUCUUUGGACUGGCAGAGGAAACCGGAGUACCUUGAGGAAACCUCAGAAGCACGGGGAGAACAUGCAAAUGCUGUGCACACAGGACAGAGGUGGGAUUCGAGCACCCAACCCCCUGGAGAUGCGAGGCAAACGUGCUAACCAUUAAACCAACGUGCCCCCCUGAAAGUACACUCUGGCACCUUUAUUUCUGAGAGUGCAGAUGCAGAAUGGUUCAUUUGUUGAGAGACAGCUUAGUAAAAGAGUACGAACCUGGUUUAUUUAAAAAAAAAAAAAAAAACACGAGGUGAAGAGAAUAUUUCUGCAGCA